UCCCUGGUAGUAUAUCGGAUUAGUACACGCGCCUGUCAUGCCGGAUUGCAAGAUGAUAUUUGUACGCGCGAGAGCGGGGUUCGACUCCCCGCCAGGGAG